rnacentral:rRNA from 1 species
AUAUUAUUAAGCGGAGGAAAAGAAACUAACAAGGAUUCCCCUAGUAACGGCGAGUGAAGCGGGAAAAGCUCAACGUUAAAAUCGGUGUACCUAGCGGUGCUCCGAAAUGUAACCUGGAGACCUUGUCCCAGUCCAGACCCGGGUAUAAAUCUUUUGAAACAAGGUAUCAGAGAGGGUGAGAAUCCCGUCUUUGACUUGGAGUUCUGGACGUACGGGCGGGGAUCGAAGAGUCGGAUAGCUUGGGAAUGCUGUCCUAAUUGGGUGGUAAAUUUCAUCUAAAGCUAAAUACAGCCAAGAGACCGAUAGCGCACAAGUA